rnacentral:rRNA from 1 species
CUCCAGCUCGGCGGUUGGUAGGCUCUGCUCAGUGAUUUAUUAAAUAGCCGCAGUAUUUUAACUGUGCUAAGGUAGCUUAGUAAUUAGGCUCUUAAUAAGAGUCUUGUAUGAAGGAGUUGACGAUUUUUAAACUUUCUUGGUUUAAGGCUAGAAUUUUAUCUCUAAGUUAAAAAGCUUAGCUUAACUAGAAAGACGAUAAGACCCUAUAAAGCUUCACUAAUAAUAGAACUAUAUUUAGCACGGUUUAAAAAGUUUAGUUGAGCUGGGGCGGCAAUUAAAAUUCUUUAAUGGAAAAAACAAAAUUUUUGAUCAAAAAGAUCUAAUAAAAGAUAGAAUAAGCUACUUUAGGGAUAACAGCGCAAUCUUUUUAGAGAGAUCUUAUUAAUAAAAAGGACUUGCGACCUCGAUGUUGAAUUGAGGGGCCUAGAUUAAGCAGAAAUAAUCUUAGGGAGUCUGUUCGACUUUUAAUUCCUC